rnacentral:sRNA from 1 species
CGUAGCAGAUUUGUGGACAAAUAUAAUGUACAUGAGAGUCAAUCGCCCCAGCGGUAAAUAUUUUGCCUUCGCCAGCAAAUGCUUCUGUACUUGCACCCACAACCAUGCCAGGUGUCACGCCAUCCAUCACAUCAGGGUUGCCUGCUUUCCCAAUACCAACUAUAAUACCGUGCUUGAUACCAAUAUCCGCCUUGUAAAUGCCAGUAUAGUCAAAAAUCAUUGCGUUGGUAAUAACUAGGUCCAGGACAUCUUCAUCGCACGCAUGUGUGGCUUGCCCCAUACCUUCACG